rnacentral:rRNA from 1 species
CGUGCAGGCGGUUUGCUAAGUCUAGGGUGAAAGCUCCCGGCUCAACUGGGAGAGGUCCUUGGAUACUGGCGAACUUGAGGGAUGCAGAGGAAAGUGGAAUUCCCGGUGUAGUGGUGAUAUGCGUAGAUAUCGGGAGGAACACCAGUGGCGAAGGCGGCUUUCUGGGCAUUUCCUGACGCUGAGACGCGAAAGCGUGGGGAGCGAACCGGAUUAGAUACCCGGGUAGUCCACGCCGUAAACGAUGGACACUAGGUGUAGGGGGUAUCGACCCCCUCUGUGCCGUAGCUAACGCAAUAAGUGUCCCGCCUGGGGAGUACGGCCGCAAGGCUAAA